GUACAUGUUUGCAGUAUAUAAUGAUUUCAUUCACUGGGGGGAGUUGGUACAUGUAUAUAACACAUCUUAAUUCUUUUACUUCCCUCCUCUUUCCUCCCACCCUCCCCAGAACAAAUUUAACACUGGCCAGAACAAGAGCUCUAAGAAGCUGGGAAGAUGGGCCCCAGAGUACAGGGGAGAACAAUUCUGCAGGAACUGUUUUAGUUUCUGUCUUCCUGGAUUCAGGGGGUCUUGCCCAGCAAGUCCCAGAGUGACCUGGUCACACAGGACCACUAGCCCUGCUCAGCUCCUGGCAGCCUCUCAGUCUAAACUGCACCCUCUUCAGG
ensembl:lncRNA